rnacentral:rRNA from 1 species
GUAGGUGGCAAGCGUUGUCCGGAAUUAUUGGGCGUAAAGCGCGCGCAGGCGGUUCUUCAAGUCUGAUGUGAAAGCCCACGGGCUCAACCGUGGAGGGUCAUUGGAAACUGGAGAACUUGAGUACAGAAGAGGAAAGCGGAAUUCCACGUGUAGCGGUGAAAUGCGUAGAGAUGUGGAGGAACACCAGUGGCGAAGGCGGCUUUCUGGUCUGUAACUGACGCUGAGGCGCGAAAGCGUGGGGAGCAAACAGGAUUAGAUACCCUGGUAGUCCACGCCGUAAACGAUGAGUGCUAAGUGUUAGGGGGUUUCCGCCCCUUAGUGCUGCAGCUAACGCAUUAAGCACUCCGCCUGGGGAGUACGGCCGCAAGGCUG